CUUGUGACGGCCUGGUGAGCUGGCAUCCGGUCAGCUGAGAGGCUUGGAUGCCGGAAGCCUGGAUCCCGGAAACCGAACGGAGGUGCGGCGAGGACGGCCGGUGACGCGUCCAGCUGUCGUUAUAGUAACUUUCCCAUUGGCAGAAGUGGAGCCUGUACAGCAAUGACCACAUACAUCAUCUGCAUCAGAAUCCAGUGCAUCUGAACAGCAGCCAUGCCAGUCAGCCAGAAGAAGUAAAUCCAUACUACGCUGUAUGCAGUCUAAAUAUACCUGCCGAACGCGGAUGCCACUGACAGUGACAACACAUGGUGAACAGCUUGUUUGCCAAUUUUACGAUGAACGACAAUGACAGUGGCUAUAUAAACUAUUUACUCCAUUUUGCCUUUUUCCAUAUUGUAUUUUCCUAUCCCGCGGCAUAAGAAUUAAUUUAUUCCGGGAUUCUUA